CCCGCCGCCUUCAAUGGGAGUCCACUCAUGGAUCCGUCCCCAAACUAUGGAUAUCGCAUCGUUUCUUUUGCAGCCUCAUUAAAUGUCCUGUGUACAUUGUUCAUUGCAACCAGCUUCAAUUGCACAAAUAACUCCCAGGAGUGCAGUGCAGCCUUAUUGCGGUUUUCCCACUUCCCCGCAGCCCUAUUUCAUGAAAUCGGUGCUUUCCGAUGAUGUUCGGACACAGGCCGGGGGCUGUUUUGUGGAGGGAAUUUGAGUUUACCACUCUUUAUGGACCGAGGUUUAAAUCUCUUUAGUGGAUGAGUUUGAAAUCAGUUGAAUUCUCACCCACCUGGUUUGUCUUACCCAAAUCUGCCAGCUGCUUUAGGUCACCGUUUGGGGAACAAACACAGAAAUUACUGGAAAAGCUCAGCGGGCCUGGCAGCAUCUGUGGAAAGAAUUCAGUUAACUUUUGGGGUCUAGUCCUCAGAACUUCCUCAGAACACGGGGAUCUUGACCAGUAAAAAAAAGUAAGAGCUACUUCUGCGGCUAAGGCGUGGUGAUGACAAAAACUUCCAAACCAGGCCGCAAUCCAUAGAAUUAAAGGGACCCCUGAAGCAUUCACAGUCCUUUUGAACUGGAAUAUGAACAUGAAACCAGAGGAUCUUCAAACUGAUUCGAGAAAAGUUUCAAAUAUCAAAGCUCAGAAACUAUGAACCACCUACUGCUGGCCUCUACCAUCCCUCGACCUCUUCAUCUUCAACUGCCAUCAUGACAUCAAUUGCCUUAAUUUCUCAACCCCUUUCAUCUACUCCAAAUUCUCCCCAGUGGAACGAACAGCUCCUUACUCCCUCCACUCUCAUGCCAACCUCACCAUUAAAACUGCUGAUAAGGGGGAGUGCGGUGGUAGUAUGGUGUACUGACCUCUACAUCACUGAGGUCAGACGCCAACUCUCCAACAUCUCCUCCUACCAUCCCCUAGAUUAUGACCCCACCCCUGACCACCAAACCCAUCAUCUCCCAGACCAUCAAUAUCUUCAUCACCUCAGGAAACCUCCCAUUCACAGCCUCCAACCUGAUCGUUCCCCAACCCCGCAUUGCCCAUUUCUAUUUCUUACCUAAAAUCUACAAACCUGAAUGCCCUGGUCCACUCAUUGUCUCUGCCUGCUCCUGCCCCACUGAACUCAUUGCCGCCUACCUCUUUUCCGUUUGUUUCCCCCAGCCCAGGAACUCCCCACUUAUAGUUGGGACACUACCCCAUGCCCUCCACCUUCUUCAAGACUUUCAAUUCCCCAGCCCCCAACACCUCAUCUUCACCAUGGACAUUCACUCUCUUUACACCUGUAUCCCCUAAAAGCCCUCCAUUUUUCCUCUCCCACAGGUUCAACCAGUUCCCCUCAAUUGAAACACUCACUCACUUGACGGAAUUUGUCCUCACCCUCAACAACUUUUCCUUUAACUACUCCCAGUUCCUACAAACCAAAGGUUUGGGCACCCACAUGGGUCCGAGCUCUCUUUGAAGGAUACGUGGAACAGCCCCUCUUCCACAGUUACACUGAUACCAUCCCUCACCUUUUCCUCUGCUACAUUGAUAAUUUUGUGGGCGCUGCCUUGUGUUCCCAUGAGGAGCUCAAUCUGUUCAUCCACUUCACCAACACCUUCCAACUUGACCUCAAAUUCACCUGGACCAUCUCCAACACCACCCUGUCCUUUCUGGACCUCUCUGUCUUCAUCUCCAGCAACCGACUCCAGUAGCUCCCUUGACUACGCCUCCUCUUGCCCACCCAAUUCCUCUGCCUCUGCUGCAUCUGCUCCUGGAGUGAAGCAUUCCAUUCCCAGACAUCUCAGUUGUCCUCCUAAUUCAAGAAUCAUGACUUCCCCUCACAUUAUUCAUAAUGCCCCAAACAUAUCUCCUGCAUUUCCCAUACCUCUGCCCUGAAACCUCCUCCCCACUAACAACAACAGGAAUAGAGUACCAGUGAUCCUCACAUACCACCCCACCAACCUCUGAAUCCAAUGCACCAUCCUCUGCCACUUUUCCCACCUGCAAUUAGACCCCACCACCAAAGAGAUAUUCCCCUCCCAACACCUAUCUGCUUUCUGUAGGGACCGUUCUCUCCAUGACUCCCUCAUCUGCUCCGUAUUCCCCACCAACCCCACCACUGACACCUUUCCCUACAACUGUAGGAAGCGCUACACCUGUCCUCUUGUCUCCAUCCAAGGGCAUAAACAACCAUUCCAUUGUCAGACAGGGAUUCACCUGUAUGUCUUCUAACCUGGUCUACUGCAUCCAUUGCUCCCGAUGUUGCCUCCUCUACAUCAGAGAGACCAAGUGCAGACUCAGUGACAGAUUCGCAGAGCAUUUGUGCUCUGUACUCUCCAAUCAACACUAUUUUCCGGUUGCCAGCCAUUUCAACUCCUCUUCCCACUCCCUCAGUGACAUAUCCAUCAUGGGCCUCCUCCAAUGUCACAAUGAGGUGACAUGACAGUUGGAGGAGGAACACCUUUUAUUCCACCUCAGGAGCUUACAGCCCAAUGGCCUCAACAUAGAAUUCACUAGCUUCAAAGUAUCCUGACCCCAGCCUCGUCCCAAGUCCAGCCCUCACUCUCAUCCUGUCUCCUGGACGUGAUACAGCCUGUCCAUCUUCCUUCUCACCUGUCAGCCCCACCCUUCCCUUUGACCGAUCUCCACAAACUCCUACCUGCAUCCACCUAUCACCCCCCACCAACCUUCGCCAAGCCCCACCACUCCCACCAAAAAAGAAGCUCAAUUAUGUAAAUUAUGUAGUGAUUACACCAACUAGGACAAAGAAUCAAUGAGUGUGUCAUGUUAAAAGUUAGAGAUAUUAUGAUAAGGAUAAUAUUCAAAACAAAGGUGUACUUAUGGUACUGAAAGAAAUAGGCAGUAAAAUAGAAGUACCAGAACAACUCGAAAAUGAAUCAGAAAUUGAAAGUUCAAAAUUUGACCUUCUAGCAAUCAGAUUAAAUAAAAUGGAGGCAUUUAAAAGUUAGAUAGCAGUAUGUUUUUUCCUGCAGGAAAAAUACCAAAGUGACUUACGAAGGUUAUUACAGAAUUGUAAAUUAAUUUGUGGGAAAAGGUCAGGAAACUGUCUUAGCUGUUCAUGAUAUAAUGUAUUGCCUAUAAAACAACAUUCUUAUAGACUCAGGUGGAGAGAUUACCUCUGAUUAAAUUCAUUAUGGACAAUUACAUUACUGAAUUGGGUCAUAGUAGCUGGAGCUCACCUAUUGUGAUGGUGGUGAAACCAGAGGGUCACAAAGAUUCCGUAUUGAUUGUCAGAAAGUCAACGUGAGAACAAAAGUUGACUCACCCCCUUUCCUAGACUGGAAGAUUGCAUUGCACAAAUUGCUC